AGGAUUCACAAACGGAAGGCAUUAUUUUGAUUGGAGAGAUCGGUGGAACCGCGGAAGAGCAUGCUGCGCAAUUUAUCAAGGAGAGUGGGACGGAAAAGCCUGUAGUGUCCUUCAUUGCAGGAUUGACAGCCCCGCCCGGGCGUCGAAUGGGUCACGCUGGAGCUAUAAUCUCGGGAGGCAAAGGCACGGCCCAGGACAAAAUCAAAACACUGAAAGCUGCGGGAGUCACGGUUGUAGAAUCACCAGCCAAGAUUGGUGAAGCGAUGCAUCAGGAAUUUAAGAAGCGAAACAUGCUUUGACAA